AACGAACGCUGGCGGCAUGCCUAACACAUGCAAGUCGAACGAGACCAUCGGGAGUAGUGGCGCAUGGGUGCGUAACGCGUCGGAACCUUCCCUUAUGUUCGGAAUACCUCCCCGACAGGGGUGCUAAUACCGGAUAAUGUCUUCUAACCAAAGAUUUAUCGCCCUGGUAUGGGCCGGCGUUGGAUUAGCUAGUUGGGAGGGUAAAAGCCUACCAAGGCGACGAUCGAUAGCUGGGCUGAGAGACAGCUCAGCCACACUUGGACGAGGACACGGCCGAGAAUCCUACGGGAUGGAGGAAAGCCGGAUAUUGGAACACGGCGUGAAGGAUGAACGACUUAGGCUGGGAGAGUGCUGAUGGUCUUAAAGAAGAAAAGCUCUUUUAACCGUGAUGAUAAUGACGGUACCGAAAGAAUAAGCUCCGGCUAACUCCGUG
rnacentral:rRNA from 1 species